rnacentral:rRNA from 1 species
GAUGAACGCUGGCGGCGUGCCUAAUACAUGCAAGUCGAGCGAACGGACGAGAAGCUUGCUUCUCUGACGUUAGCGGCGGACGGGUGAGUAACACGUGGAUAACCUACCUAUAAGACUGGGAUAACUUCGGGAAACCGGAGCUAAUACCGGAUAAUAUUUUGAACCGCAUGGUUCAACAGUGAAAGACGGUCUUGCUGUCACUUAUAGAUGGAUCCGCGCUGCAUUAGCUAGUUGGUAAGGUAACGGCUUACCAAGGCAACGAUGCAUAGCCGACCUGAGAGGGUGAUCGGCCACACUGGAACUGAGACACGGUCCAGACUCCUACGGGAGGCAGCAGUAGGGAAUCUUCCGCAAUGGGCGAAAGCCUGACGGAGCAACGCCGCGUGAGUGAAGAAGGUCUUCGGAUCGUAAAACUCUGUUAUUAGGGAAGAACAUAUGUGUAAGUAACUGUGCACAUCUUGACGGUACCUAAUCAGAAAGCCACGGCUAACUACGUG